rnacentral:rRNA from 1 species
AUAUGCUGGAGGAAGGUGGGGAUGACGUCAAGUCCUCAUGGCCCUUAUGGGUUGGGCUACACACGUGCUACAAUGGCGGCGACAGAGGGCAGCGACCCCGCGAGGGUGAGCUAAUCUCCAAAAGCCGUCUCAGUUCGGAUUGUUCUCUGCAACUCGAGAGCAUGAAGGUGGAAUCGCUAGUAAUCGCAGAACAGCAUGCUGCGGUGAAUACGUUCCCGGGCCUUGUACACACCGCCCGUCACACCAUGGGAGUUGGAUCUACCCGAAGAUUGU